UAACCUGCCUUGGAGUGGGGAAUAACAGCUGGAAACAGCUGCUAAUACCGCAUGAUGCAGUUGGGUCGCAUGGCUCUGACUGCCAAAGAUUUAUCGCUCUGAGAUGGACUCGCGUCUGAUUAGCUAGUUGGCGGGGCAACGGCCCACCAAGGCGACGAUCAGUAGCCGGACUGAGAGGUUGGCCGGCCACAUUGGGACUGAGACACGGCCCAGACUCCUACGGAAGGCAGCAG
rnacentral:rRNA from 1 species